rnacentral:lncRNA from 1 species
GUCCUUAUUUGUGCUAAGGACCUGCAUUUUGACUGGAGAGGAGUUCCACUGGGAUGUGGCUGCAAGGGGAGGAGGGCAAAGCCCCAUCAGGAGGGAUUUUCAGCCCAGGCUUUCACACUGUUACUGAAGUUUGAACAGGUUCUCAGAAAAGGAAACACCAAAGACCUCCCAGCACAACGCACCCAGCUGACGGCUGCGCAGCCCCGCUCUGCGCGCCCACGUCUGCGCCCUCCUCACCGCGGUUUGCUGCUUCCUGCUGCCGCUGCCAUCGGGGAGCUCCGCAGCAGGAGGGCAGCGGGGCUCUGCCUUACCCAGCUGUUAAUGGACUCUGCGUGUAACGACACUCAGCACGCUGAAUGCGCGGACCAUGUGACAGUGAUAAUGCACCGACAGGAGUCUCACCCUGGAGCUGCAGCUGGCAGGAUGGAAGCAGGCUGUUCUAACGGGGCGAGGGGAAAUGGUUUCUAACGAAAAGAGAGGAGACACUCAGACUAGAUAUAAGGGAAAACAAGUUUACAAUAUGGCCAGUGAAGCACAGCACAGGCUGCCCAGAGAGGCGGUGCUGCCCCAUCCCUGCACACAGCCAAGGUCAGGGAUGGGCUGUGAGCACUGAUGGAGCUGUGGGUGUCCCUGCAGGGACUGGGACCAGAGCACUUUGAAGGGUCCCUUCCAACUCAAACCAUUCUGUGAUUCUAUGAUUCCCCUCAUUUUAUCAAGACCAUGGCAGUCUACAUCAUUUGAUAGAUACAAUUAAUAAUGGUUCAAUAUUAUUAGCUAAAUAUUUUAUAUAAGGAUAGUAAAAAUUAAAUAUUAAUGUAAUUAUGAACAAUAUUUUAAUGGCAAGCAGCUUUUAAAAUAUAUUCACUGUUAUUGUUAAUCAUUUCAAACCUAAAUGCCCCUCAUUGCCUGAUGCUUUACUAUUUCCAGUUUAAGGGAAAAGAACUCUACUGCUUGUAGAAGUCUCUGUGAAACACCUGUUCUUACUGUUUUGUUGUUGUUUCCACCAAAAAGCUGUGGAGUUCAGCUGCAGUCACAGAGACUCAGCUGCUUCUAUCUGAUGGCUGCAGGAACAAAUGUUCCUUGGGCACUGCUAUGCUCUCCUCAAUGCAAAUGAGUCCUUGCCCUGUACGUUACUGAAAUGUGUAACACUACGUAGUAUGGCAAGAUGCAAGACAUGCAUUUGUCUUCUCAGAAGUAAACUUAAAUUAAUUUUGUUUUCUUUUAUGGUACCUAACAGAGAAAUUAUUUCCCAGGACCACGAAGGUUAUUCCCAGUGACUUUCAGGGAGGAGGACAGGCAGCCCGCCAGGCAGCAGCGCUUUGCAGAGCCGUGUGGGAGGAGCUGCAGAGCCGUGGCACUGCUGCAUUCCCUGCACAGAACGAUGCCAAUGUCUGCACAGAGGUACCAGGCAGAGCCAGGCGGUAUGACGGGCUGUGGGUGCUGGCAGCCGUGCUGCCUGGCCGGGCCCUUCCUGAGCCCCCACCGCCCCCAUGGAGCUGAGGUUUGGUGACUGCAUCCAGGCAGUGCUGCCCCACCUCAGUGCUCAAAGGAGAGAUUAAAAUAAAGGUAACGGUGCCCAGGAGCA